CUCAAAUGGUAAAUGCGAAAUGCAAAUGCACAUUCCCGAACGCCACAAAGCCCCAUUAGUCGUCGGAUGCCGCUGUUGCUGCCUCUCAAGGAUUACCAAAGGGACUCAGAAAACAAGCACUAUGGGGAUUUUGUGGGAAUGAGCCCCCCCCCCCCGCCGUGGCAUUAGGCCUUGAGCCCCAGUUGGGGCGUUGCUUGUUUGAUGUUUUUGUUGCAGCCGGGCGUCCAUCGCUGCAAGAGUUUACUUUAUCUAUGGAUCUCUAAAAGAUUCGACUGGUGCAAAACCGCAGCGCAGUCGAUCGGCCGCCAGCCAAGGUCAUGGGCGAGUGAGUGAGCGAAAGCGGGACAGAGGCAUAUGCAAAAUGCGAUAAGCUCCGUCUUGCGCACACUGUGUGAGAAAAGAGAGUGCAAGGCGUGAUGCCCUGCAGUCUGCCAGAUCGGUGUUGGGUUACUUUAUUUGCGCAGUGUGCGGCUCUCUUCGCCACACUUUAAAGGCGCUCUCUCGUUCGCUUUGGCAAAGCUUUGGCUUUGGCUCUCUUGGCUUUACCGCUACUCCUCCUGUUGGGAGAGGCUGUUUGCUGGCAUUGCCAGAAGCAAACGAAGUGAUGGAUAAAAUCUAAAUUUCCACUUUGAAUAAAUACAUUUUCCAAGCUACAAAUUGAAUAAGCAAAUUAGCACGUCUAUUGGUUCAAGGCCCGCACCUGCAGCCACCCGCCCACGCCGUAAAUCAACCAGUUACACAUUCCUCUCGAAAUAUGCAAAUAAUAUCUGGGUAAGCAAUUUAGCAAGCGAGAUAGGAGGAGAUUGAGUUGGCUUUGGACAGAUAUAGAUCUCUCGGGGUGUGACAAUGAAUGAUCCAUCCAUUCCAACCGAUGACAAUCCCUUGUAUAAUUAGCACAGAUGAGUGAACGAUUCUAACAAUUCUAUCUAACAAUUUGUGACCCAGUCGGAGGAGUCACGCCCUAUUUUUGGCAUAAACAAACCUCAGAUAUUGUGAGUGGAAAACCCAUAGAAAAUUCAAGCUGCAACCUUUUGUAAAUGGUCAGCUAAUUGCCCAAACGAGUCCAACAACAAAAUGUAUGCCAAAGUAUUUUACACAGACACUCGAAAAGAAAACAAGAGAGGGCCGGAAUGAAGGGUGGGUGGCGGGUAGGGGUGUCCGCAUGGGCUUUUCCCACUCGAACUUUGCCCACGCGGGGCGCACACACAAAAUGUCUUACGAAAUGGAACAUCCAAAUAAACAGCACUCCGUGUGGGCAGUUUUUCUCAUUUCACGAUCUAUUUGGAGGCCCGAGCCAGUCAGGCAGGCAGACGGCCAGUGAUAACGAUCUGCAAAGCAAAUAGACCGCAGACGAUAAGAUAUACAGUACUUCGUUUCAAUGUCUGUCUCUCGCUGUCUGUCUGUGCCUUGGGGGCAGAGAUAAUUGUGCAAUUUCUGUGCAAUCUUUUGGCAUCGGGCCGCUCUCUGCCGCUCUCUGCCGCUCACCCGCUCUCCCGCUCUCUGCUGCUCACGUCAGCGACCACAGGCAAGUCAAUCAACUGUAAUCGGAAUGGGAAUAGGAAUGGGAAUGGGAAUGGAAAUGGAAUUUGAAACCGAAUUCGAAGAGGUUGCGGCAAAGAAAACUGACAAGCACAAGCCGCAGCUGAAACGUAGAACAAAUCAAUGCGGGCCAGGGCUAAAGUGGACACGAGUGGUUAGACCAAGACCCACCUCUACUACCCAAUCGUCUGGCAUUCCGUUUCGCUUAUUUGACGUUCAUUCUUACAUUCUUUUUUUUCUUCUUAGUUUUUGCAUAAAUCCAUAAUGAGAUUUAAAAUGCAAACUGUCGCAGAUAAUGGCAUUGUCCGAGAUUUUCAACAAUCAAUGCAGCUUAUGACAUAAGAUUCCAAAAAAGAAAUCAGAGAAAGAAAGAAAUUAUUUCUGAAUUCUCUUCUGGGAGAAAUAUUAAUGAUUUAAAUUGCUCAUAAAACGAUUUUCAAUAGGCGUUUCACCAUUUAAUAUUGAUUCGAUUUCAGCCCCAUUCAAAUUCCUCAAUAACCAAUAAACAGCAAUAAAUAUCGUACUGUAAACAAUAAAUUCAAUUAUUGGCACGUUUUUCUAAAGCGGAAGUUCAUUUUCUAAAUAUUUGUGGUUUUCCCACAAAUAUGUUUACAAACAAAAGCAAAAGAUGAAACGAUUUAGAUGGAUAUAUCCCUGUUUCCCUGUUUCCGUGAGUUUUUGUUUUGUAUACAUACAUAUAUGGAAAUCAUCAAGUAGACAUUGAAAUCUACAACUAACAAUAGUUUCGGGCCAGUCUGACUUUCCCAAUUUCCGCCCACAGUAAAGCCCAUAAGCCAAAGAUCAUGCCCUGCUGCAGACGCUUCUGUCGAGCCUGUCGUCGCUGGUACUGCACCAGAAGCCUGAAGUCGAGCUGUGGGGCCUAUCGUGGCCCCUGUUCCGGACCGUGCGGGGGCCCCUGCUAUGGCGAAAGCUGUGGAACCUGCUGUGGCAACUGCUCCUGCUGCUGUGUGAUUUGCUCUAGUGGCCUCGGAACGUGUGGCCAGCCCUGCUGUAGAUCCUACAUCUGAUGGAUCUAUAAGGAGUUUGGACUUUACUGUGUGUGCAAAUUGGGACUCUUGUGAAAAUGUAAUCUGAAAAUGUU
rnacentral:sRNA from 1 species